rnacentral:rRNA from 1 species
UACGUAGGGUGCAAGCGUUAAUCGGAAUUACUGGGCGUAAAGCGCACGCAGGCGGUGGGGUAAGUCUGAUGUGAAAUCUCCUGGCUUAACUGGGAGGGGUCAUUGGAAACUGCCGUACUUGAGGCGAUGAGAGGGGUGUAGAAUUCCCGGUGUAGUGGUGGAAUGCGUAGAUAUCGGGAGGAAUACCAGUGGCGAAAGCGACACCCUGGCAUUAGCCUGACGCUCAUGUGCGAAGGCGUGGGGAGCGAACGGG